UACGUAGGUGGCAAGCGUUGUUCGGAAUUAUUGGGCGUAAAGGGCGCGUAGGCGGCUUGUUAAGUCAGCUGUGAAAGCCCGGGGCUCAACCCCGGAGGGUCAGCUGAUACUGGCUAGCUAGAGUACGGAAGAGGUAGCUGGAAUUCCCGGUGUAGCGGUGAAAUUCGUAGAUAUUCGCAAGAACACCAGUGGCGAAGGCGGCUCACUGGCCCGGUACUGACGCUGAGGUGCGAAAGCGUGGGGAGCAAACAGG
rnacentral:rRNA from 1 species